rnacentral:rRNA from 1 species
UACGAAGGGAGCUAGCGUUGUUCGGAUUCAUUGGGCAUAAAGCGCGCGUAGGCGGCUCGGAAAGUCGGGUGUGAAAUGCCGGGGCUCAACCCCGGGACUGCGUCCGAUACUUCCGAGCUGGAGGUAGGUAGGGGAGAUCGGAAUUCCGUGGUGUAGCGGUGAAAUGCGCAGAUAUCAGAGGAACACCGGUGGCGAAGGCGGAUCUCUGGGCCUUACCUGACGCUGAGGCGCGAAAGCUAGGGGAGCGAACAGG